GUACACAAAAAUGCACAUGCUGUGAGCUCGAUGAGUAGGGCGGGACACGUGGUAUCCUGUCUGAAUAUGGGGGGACCAUCCUCCAAGGCUAAAUACUCCUGACUGACCGAUAGUGAACCAGUACCGUGAGGGAAAGGCGAAAAGAACCCCGGCGAGGGGAGUGAAAAAGAACCUGAAACCGUGUACGUACAAGCAGUGGGAGCCUCUUAAUGGGGUGACUGCGUACCUUUUGUAUAAUGGGUCAGCGACUUAUAUUCUGUAGCAAGGUUAACCGAAUAGGGGAGCCGAAGGGAAACCGAGUCUUAACUGGGCGUUAAGUUGCAGGGUAUAGACCCGAAACCCGGUGAUCUAGCCAUGGGCAGGUUGAAGGUUGGGUAACACUAACUGGAGGACCGAACCGACUAAUGUUGAAAAAUUAGCGGAUGACUUGUGGCUGGGGGUGAAAGGCCAAUCAAACCGGGAGAUAGCUGGUUCUCCCCGAAAGCUAUUUAGGUAGCGCCUCGUGAAUUCAUCUCCGGGGGUAGAGCACUGUUUCGGCAAGGGGGUCAUCCCGACUUACCAACCCGAUGCAAACUGCGAAUACCGGAGAAUGUUAUCACGGGAGACACACGGCGGGUGCUAACGUCCGUCGUGAAGAGGGAAACAACCCAGACCGCCAGCUAAGGUCCCAAAGUCAUGGUUAAGUGGGAAACGAUGUGGGAAGGCCCAGACAGCCAGGAUGUUGGCUUAGAAGCAGCCAUCAUUUAAAGAAAGCGUAAUAGCUCACUGGUCGAGUCGGCCUGCGCGGAAGAUGUAACGGGGCUAAACCAUGCACCGAAGCUGCGGCAGCGACGCUUAUGCGUUGUUGGGUAGGGGAGCGUUCUGUAAGCCUGUGAAGGUGUGCUGUGAGGCAUGCUGGAGGUAUCAGAAGUGCGAAUGCUGACAUAAGUAACGAUAAAGCGGGUGA
rnacentral:rRNA from 1 species